rnacentral:rRNA from 1 species
AGUGAACGCUGGCGGUAGGCCUAACACAUGCAAGUCGAACGGCAGCACAGUAAGAGCUUGCUCUUACGGGUGGCGAGUGGCGGACGGGUGAGGAAUACAUCGGAAUCUACUUUUUCGUGGGGGAUAACGUAGGGAAACUUACGCUAAUACCGCAUACGACCUACGGGUGAAAGCAGGGGAUCUUCGGACCUUGCGCGAUUGAAUGAGCCGAUGUCGGAUUAGCUAGUUGGCGGGGUAAAGGCCCACCAAGGCGACGAUCCGUAGCUGGUCUGAGAGGAUGAUCAGCCACACUGGAACUGGGACACGGUCCAGACUCCUACGGGAGGCAGCAGUGGGGAAUAUUGGACAAUGGGCGCAAGCCUGAUCCAGCCAUACCGCGUGGGUGAAGAAGGCCUUCGGGUUGUAAAGCCCUUUUGUUGGGAAAGAAAAGCAGCAGGUUAAUACGCCGCUGUUCUGACGGUACCCAAAGAAUAAGCACCGGCUAACUUCGUG